AAGUAAAGCCCAAAUAAAGGGGUGCUAAACGGGAGUGUGGGAAGCCUGGAUAGAAGCUUCACUCUCGCAGUUGCAGCAAUACAGACAGCCAUGGUCAAAAGGUAGUUCCUCAGUUGUUCCCGCCGUUUCCCAGUAACCAAUCACAGCGUUUCAGAUGUGAAAAUGGGUUCGAAUUCGGAGACUCGAAGACUAAAAGAGAAUUCAAAGCCUCGAGCAGGAGGUGAAGAUAGGAUUAGUCGAUUGCCAGAUGCUGUUCUUUGUCACAUACUUUCCUUAAUUCCAACAAAGUAUGCUGUGAGGAGCAGCAUUCUGUCCAACAGAUGGAAGAACAUAUGGGCUUCUGUUCCUAAUCUGGACUUUGAAGAUAGAUCAAACCGUUGUAUCGCGGAAAAGAAAUAUAAGUGCGACACUGUUGGUUUUUCGACCUUUGUUGAUCGUGUGCUUUCCCUUCGUGAUUCAUCAAUAGACAUUAAAAAGUUUCGUCUUCAUUGGGUCUGCUCUAGUGACGAUUUCUCUCGUAUUGAUGGUUGGAUUCAAACUGCCGUCCAGCAUAAUGUCGUUGAACUUGACCUUCUAGUUGAAACGGAUUCUAGUGAUGAUUUUAUAUUUGAGUUUCCUCAAUGCAUUUUCAGUUGUAAAACACUUGUGGCUUUGAAGGUGUAUUCAAAUUGUAUUAGCUACAGUCCUCCUACAUCAGGGUGCUUCCUAAAUCUCAAGACCCUCUAUGUCGGAGCUGAAUAUCCCGAUAGUGACUCGGUGGAAAAGAUUUUUUCUUGCUGCCCUGUACUUGAAGAUUUAACUAUAAUGGGACUUCUUGGUCAAUAUGAGGUUUUGAAUUACAAGAUCUCUGCGCCUGAAUUAAACACAUUAAGGUUGAACUUACCUGUAGAUGUUGGAGAUCAUGAUCAGAACCACAGUAUUUUUAUUAGUUGUCCGAAGCUUGAAAACCUUGUUAUCAGGCAGGAUAUUUUGUCGAGUUAUAUAUUUGUGAACGUCAAAUCCCUUGUUAAAGCCAGUUUUACUCUCUUUUUCCAUAAUGCGGAGAAUCUACAACCCAAUUUCGAUAACCGUGCAAUUACCUGUCUGGCAGGAAUUUCUAAUGUUCAGUGUCUUUCUCUAUCAGCUCAUCAUUUUUUGAAGGGUCAUUGUCUACCGGCAUUUGAUAAUUUAAGAGAACUGAAGCUGGUUCUUCACGAUUGCUAUCAUUGGGAUUUGCUAACAGAGUUGCUCAAGAGAUCACCUAUUUUGGAAUAUCUUGUCGUAGAAUAUGAAGAAGAUAAGGAAUGUGCUGACGAUUAUGAUGAGCAUGAGUACUUAAAACAUGUCUUAUACUCAGAGCAUCGAUGGAGUACACCAGAGUCUGUGCCUAUUUGUUUAAUAUCACACCUCAAGACUAUCACUAUAAGGGGAUUCAAGGGAUACCCGCAUGAGAAGAAAGUGGCAAAGUAUCUGUUAGAGAAUGGUAAAGUUUUGAAUAAGAUGACUAUUCACAAUGGGUUAUACAAAGAGUUAACACAGAAAAGGGGUUCUACGACUUGCCAAGUUGAAUUGGUCUAAAUCCCAAAGUGGCAAAGCCCAGAGUAGAAAAGCCCAAAGGAAUGGCGCGAAAAGGGAGUGUAGGAAGCCUGGAAGCUUCAGACUUCACAGGCGCAGCAGAGCACAAGCAUCCAAUAUCCAUGGUUGAAACUUGAAAGCAUCAACUUUCCCAAUAAGUAGAAGUUGGGACACUAACCAAACAGCUUUGCAAGUCCAUAGUUUCUCAGUUCUUCCCGCUGUUUCCCAGUAACCAAUUACAGCGUUUCAGUGUGUUUCCAGAAAAUGCAUGGUAAUCGGGGUUGGGCUGUACAUUUCGCGGUGGAUGGUAACCGGAAUUUGCAUAUCUGAGAGGAACGGUGGACGGAAAAUGGGGAAAGGGACGGCGUUCCAUAACAUAAACUCACCCUAAAAUACUCACCCUAAACCCGAAAUCCGAAGCCCGAAGAAACCCGAAAUCCGAAAUUUGAAACCCGAAAUCCGAAACCAAAAUCCAAAAUCCGAAACCGAAAUCCGAAAUCCGAAACCGAAAUCCGAAACCCCGAAA